rnacentral:rRNA from 1 species
AACGUACGCUGGCGGCACGCCUAACACAUGCAAGUCGAACGAAGUAGCAAUACUUAGUGGCAGACGGGUGAGUAACAUGUAGGUAUCUGCCCUUUGGCCUGGAAUAACACGAGGAAACUUGUGCUAAUACCGGAUAAGUCUUUACGGAGAAAGCUUUAUGCACCAUUGGAUGAGCCUGCACUUGAUUAGUUUGUUGGUGGGGUAAUGGCCUACCAAGACUGUGAUCAAUAGCUGAUUUGAGAGGAUGAUCAGCCACAUUGGGACUGAGACACGGCCCAAACUCCUACGGGAGGCAGCAGUGGGGAAUCUUGCACAAUGGAGGAAACUCUGAUGCAGCGAUGCCGCGUGAGUGAAGAAGGCCCUUGGGUUGUAAAGCUCUUUCGUCGGGGAAGAAAAUGACUGUACCCGAAUAAGAAGGUCCGGCUAACUUCGUGCCAGCAGCCGCGGUAAUACGAAGGGACCUAGCGUAGUUCGGAAUUACUGGGCUUAAAGAGUUCGUAGGUGGUUGAAAAAGUUAGUGGUGAAAUCCCAGAGCUUAACUCUGGAACUGCCAUUAAAACUUUUCAGCUAGAGUAUGAUAGAGGAAAGCAGAAUUUCUAGUGUAGAGGUGAAAUUCGUAGAUAUUAGAAAGAAUACCAAUUGCGAAGGCAGCUUUCUGGAUCAUUACUGACACUGAGGAACGAAAGCAUGGGUAGCGAAGAGGAUUAGAUACCCUCGUAGUCCAUGCCGUAAACGAUGUGUGUUAGACGUUGGAAAUUUAUUUUCAGUGUCGCAGGGAAACCGAUAAACACACCGCCUGGGGAGUACGACCGCAAGGUUAAAACUCAAAUGAAUUGACGGGGACCCGCACAAGUAGUGGAGCAUGUGGUUUAAUUCGAAGAUACGCGCAGAACCUUACCAACACUUGACAUGUUCGUCGCGACUCUAAGAGAUUGGAGUUUUCGGUUCGGCCGGACGAAACACAGGUGCUGCAUGGCUGUCGUCAGCUCGUGUCGUGAGAUGUUGGGUUAAGUCCCGCAACGAGCGCAACCCUCACUUUUAGUUGCCAUCAUUAAGUUGGGCACUCUAAAAGAACUGCCAGUGAUAAGCUGGGGGAAGGUGGGGAUGACGUCAAGUCCUCAUGGCCCUUACGUGUUGGGCUACACACGUGCUACAAUGGUAUCUACAACAGGAAGCAAGACUGCGAAGUUAAGCAAAUCCCUAAAAGAUACCUCAGUUCGGAUUGCACUCUGCAACUCGAGUGCAUGAAGCUGGAAUUACUAGUAAUCGUGGAUCAGCGUGCCACGGUGAAUGCGUUCCCGGGUCU